GAAGCCCGCCAGACUGCCGCUGGUGCAUCACCCGAAAGGGCGCACUGGAGGAACGUCCGGACUGCACAGGGCAGCGUAGCAGCUAACAGCUGUCCACUGAAAGCCUGUGGCGCAAGCCACAGGUAUAAGGUGAGGAUCAGAGCAACAGAGACGAGUUUUGGACUCGGACGCAACGCAAGUUGUGGCACGAGCCCAAAGGUGAAACGGGCAAUCUCUACGCGCAGCAAUACCAAGUAGGCACACGUUGACGGGGCCCCCGGAGUGUGCGGGUAGGUAGCACCGAGCCGCUGGGUGACCAGCGGCCCAGAGUAAUGGCAGUCACUUCUGCCGGUCCGCAAGGUCCGGUGGUUGCACAGAAUCCGGCUUAUCGGUGGGCUUCACAC
rnacentral:RNase_P_RNA from 1 species